GUAGGUGGCAAGCGUUGUCCGGAAUUAUUGGGCGUAAAGCGCGCGCAGGCGGUCCUUUAAGUCUGAUGUGAAAGCCCACGGCUCAACCGUGGAGGGUCAUUGGAAACUGGGGACUUGAGUACAGAAGAGGAAAGCGGAAUUCCAAGUGUAGCGGUGAAAUGCGUAGAGAUUUGGAGGAACACCAGUGGCGAAGGCGGCUUUCUGGUCUGUAACUGACGCUGAGGCGCGAAAGCGUGGGGAGCAAACAGGGAUUAGAUACCCUGGUAGUCCACGCCGUAAACGAUGAGUGCUAAGUGUUAGGGGGUUUCCCGCCCCUUAGUGCUGCAGCUAACGCAUUAAGCACUCCGCCUGGGGAGUACGGCCGCAAGGCUG
rnacentral:rRNA from 1 species